UGAGACAGACCUCGACACCAACUAGAAAAUUUCCAGCAAAUGCUCUUUUAUUGUAAACUAAGAGACCUCGGAUUUAAAGGGUCCCAUUACACAUGGUACAAUGGAAGACACGAUGCUACACAGAUUUUUGAAAGACUCAAUUGUUUCACAGCAAAUCUCUUGUCGGUUUUUUCUAGAAGCUACAGUCACUCAUGGAUCCAUUGCAUACUCUGACCAUCUACCACUCUGGGUCCAGCUUUAUGGCACUCAUCAAACACCUAACCGACCCAAACCAUUUCGAUUCGAAUCAAUGUGGCUUGGCGAAAAGGCGUGUGCUGAUAUUAUACUAGAUCAAUGGUCCGACUCAAGCAAUUAGGAUUUGGAAAAUAUCACUCAAAAUAUCAGAAACUGUAGCAAUAAACUCCUUGGAAUUCUACCAAAUUCGGCAAGGUGCAAGUGAAACUCAACAACGCAAAAAAAAAAAAAAAAAAAAAAAAAAAAAAAAAAAAAAAAAAAAAAAAAAAAAAAAAAAAACACGCCCACAUUCAAAAGCAGGAACCGAGAGCGAUAAACUCAAAUGAUCUCCAAUAGGUGAUUGAAGAAGUACAAACUUGAAUGGAUAGAGAAGAACUCAUGUGGAAACAAAGGUCUAGGGCAGCUUGGCUCGAUGAAGGUGACCAGAACACACGAUUCUUCCAUGCAAAAGCUUCCCAAAGGAGAAGAAAAAAUACAAUCACUAAACUCUUGGAUGACCAAAGUUGUUGGCAAGAGGGAGAGGCGUGUAACCACACAAUAAUAAACUACUUUUCUGACAUGUUCACCUCUACAGGCUCAAGGAAUCAAGCUGCUGUUUUGGAGCACAUAAAAUGUAAAGUAACUACUGAAAUGAACAAUGAAUUGAUACAGCCUUCUACAGUAAUCAAAGUCUCACAAGCCUUGAAGGAGAUGUAUCCUACGACAGCCCCAGGUCCUGAUGGUAUGCCUCCUAUUUUUUAUCAAAAGUAUUGGCCUCAUAUUGGUAUCUCUAUUACAAAUGUUGUAUUACAUGCUUUAAAUUUCAAUGAUUUCCUCCAAGAUGUAAAUCACACUUUUAUUACACUUGUCCCCAAAAUAAAAAAUCCCCAGAGAGUUAAGGAUUUUAGGCCAAUAAGUCUCUGUAAUGUCUUGUAUAAAUUGGUUUCAAAAGUUGUGGCGAACAAGAUAAAAUCAGUGCUACCUGUGGUGAUUUAAGAAACAUAAUCAGCCUUCAUUAAAGGGCGACUGAUUACAGACAAUGUAAAUGUGGCCUACGAAGUACUCCAUUUCCUACGAAAAAAGAAGAAGGGCAAGAAAAGCUACAUGUCUCUCAAGUUGGACAUGAGCAAAGCAUAUGAUAGAGUGGAAUGGUCUUUUCUUGAGGCGAUUAAAUAUAAAUUGGGCUUCCACGAAAAAAUUAUCAACUAGGUGAUGGCAUGUGUAACUACUCCUUCUUUCUUGAUACUUAUCAAUGGCUGUCUCACGGGUCACAUAAUUCCCUCCAGGCGGCUGAGGCAAGGAGAGCCAAUAUCUCCCUAUUUAUUCCUCUUAUGUACUGAAGGAUUAAUUAGCCUAUUGAAUGCAGCAAAAAGAAAUAAAAUGGUGACUGGUAUUCAAGUAUGUAGAGGAGCUCCAAGGGUGAAUCAUCUUCUCUUUGCGGAUGAUAGCUUGAUAUUCUGUGAAGCAAAUGUUGAAAAUACUACUCGACUGCAAGCUCUCCUUAGUUGCUAUGAAGAAGCCUCGGGUCAACAGUUAAAUAGAGAUAAAACCUCUAUGGUCUUUAGUGCAAACGUAAAAUCAGACAAGCAGCAAGAAAUAAUGGCCCUAUGGAACGCUCCUCAAACACAACAAUAUAACAAGUGUCGGGGACUACCACCUAUGAUUGGAAGAUCCAAAAUGCGAGCCUUCUUUGAAAUAAAACACAAAGUCUGGUUGAAAUUACAAAGUUGGAAGGGUGGCAUGUUCUCCCAAGGAGGAAGAGAGGUCUUCCUCAAUUCAGUGGCUCUAGCGAUCCUCUCUUAUGCUAUGAGCUGCUUCAAACUACCCUCCACUUUAUGCACUGAAAUUGAAAGGAUGAAGGCUAGAUUUUGGUGGGGCCAAAGGAAGGAAGAGCUAAAAAUCCAUUGACAAUCCUGAAAUACAAUGUGUAUAUCAAAAUCCAUGGGAGGAAUGGGCUUUAAGGAGCUAGAAAUUUUCAACAUGGCUAUGCUUGGAAAACAAGCUUGGAGGCUAUUGCAACACAUUGAUAGCUUAGUGUAUAAAAUCUUCUCAGCCCGUUACUUCCGAGAUGGUAACAUCCUUAAAACAUCUAUUGGACAAAAUCCCUUUCAUGGUUGGCGUGGAAUCUGGGAGGCAAAAAAUCUAUUGAUCUAAGGAGGAAGAUAGAUUGUAGGAGAUGGUAACUCUAUACAAAUUCUAAAUGAUAAUUGGAUCUCGGGUGUGAAAAAUCUAAGUAGGGAGUUGGGAAUUGAUUUACAACAAUAGCACAAUCAACAACUUGACAACCCAGUGGCUUCAUUGAUUGACCCCAACAUGAAGUGGUGGAAUUUGACAAAGCUUAGGGCUCUAUUCAAUCCAAAAAUACUGGAGGCGAUAUUAAAAUUACACCCAAGUCCUGUGGGUGAAACAGAUUUCUGGUCAUGGGAGCAUGAAGAAACGGGAAUUUAUUCCGUCAAGAGUGCAUAUAGAUUUUUCAAGACUUGUCUAUCUCCUGACCGAGGCAACUCCUCAAAUGCGGCUAAAAAAAAGAAAUUUUGGGAUACUAUGUGGCGUCUUAAGAUCCCCCAAAAAGUUAAAAUUUUUGCUUGGAGAGCUUGUAAAGAUAGCUUGCCUUCCAAACAAAAUCUGGUUUGAAGAGGAAUCCCUAUUGCCACUCAAUGCUAUUUUUAUGACUACCAAGUAGAAGAUCUAUGCCAUGCUCUACUCAAUUGUCCCUGUACUUGUCAACUUCUAACCAGCCGAUUUCCAGCGCUACAGAACAAGGACCACCUAGGAGAUUUCAUGCAAACAACUAUGGAUAUAAUGGCAAAAGACCCAAAGAAUGCUCUCUCCGAAUUUAUACUCAUCACUUGGGGUUUUUGGUUUCGCCGAAACAAAAUGAUACACGACCAGUUGAACAUUCCACCGCAACAAGUAAUUUCCACUGCUUUAGCCAAAAAAACCCUCUGCUGAAUCAGGUCCAUCUGCCAACUGUACCCCUGGGUCGCUUCUCCACAAAUAUAGGUGGUCCGCACCACCAAAACAAGCGUUAAAACUCAAUAUUGAUCACACGCUAUUUUUUUACUCUAAUAAGUCUGGGUUCGGAAUCAUAUUACGUGACAACAUGGGAGAAAUAGUUUUGGCAGCUAGUGGACCUGCAAACUCAAUACUGGAACCAGAACAAAUUGAAGUUGAUGCGCUUGUGAGAGGUCUACAACUGUGCCUUAACCUUGGAAUAACUCACUUGAUAGUGGAAAGCGAUUGCUUGUUUCUUGUCAACGAAAUCAAUAAAUCAAGCUCAUCCUUAGCCUUGAUCCGAUCACAACUUGCUGAAAUAAAUGUAGCAUUUUCCUCAAUGUAACCUCCAACACUGCAACAGACUAAGUGACAAAGCUGCUCACUCCCUUGCGCGAUACGCAUGGUCCCUGGAAGACAUGUUCCUUUGGUGGCAUAGUGUUCCUUUAUUCAUUGAAAAUGUAAUUUUCAUUGAUAAACACUAUUGUACCCUUUCCUAAGGUUUAUUACCUCUAUGAAUGAAAUAUUUUCCCAUAAAAAAAAUAGUUCAGAAUAAAGCAAACAACGUUACCGAAAAUUUUGAAUUUUGAUUUAGUUAACAACAUAGAUUUUAUAGCAUGUUAUCAUCUGCACGACUUUGAUAAUCUCACUGGAGAUUUUAUUUUUAGUUCAAAAAAAAAAAAUGCAAACAAACCAUUGAUUAAUUACUGCUACUUAUAUAUGAGUCACUUAAUCCAAUAUCUUCUUGACAAGACAUUGUUGCCUAGACAAACUUCCCAAUUCUUAUCUUGGACUUAAUAAGAUUAACCACAAUUAAGAAAAAAAAUCGAGCGAUGAAAUAAUUAGAUGUUUCAAGAACGUGUAUUUCAAUGGAAAUUAACAUUGUAACUUCUGACAUAAAAUUUCCCUCAUUGUUAUGCUUCUAUGUUUGAAUUCAAAUGGACUAAUCAAUAAAGGGGCCUUAUUUGAGUAACAAGACUUGGAUAAUUCUUCUACUAGGACAUAGAUUUAUUCAAAUCUAAGCAACUUGGUUUUGGGUAUAGAUAGCAACAGCAAUACCUGCAUACAUAACUGUUAGCAGAUACCGAACCAAAUUAUUCUUAAUCUAAAUUCUCAUGGUGUCAAGGUAUGAUUUCCCAUCAAGUUCCCGCGAAAAUAAUCCUUUCGUAUAAUCAACAAAGCUGAUCCUUUUAAAUUUUGCUGGAGUUUCAGGGGUCACAAGGCUCGGUGUUGGACCAAAGUCACCAUCUAUAUUUGGGUUGAAAAAUGUGGCAAUGGAGAGCCUUUCUUUCUUCGAGUUGACAGUUGCUCGAUGUUCAAUGCUUCGGUAAAUUCCAUUUGUCACAAUCUGUGAAAGCAGGUAAUGAUAAGAUCCUAUGGAAUAUAUGUUCUCGAGUCCAAUUCCAUAUAUACACUGGUGCCCACAAAGAGUCCUUUAUCCAUAUUCCAAUUGUCUUUGAAAUGGUUUACCUAUGGAGCUUUGGCAGACUUUUUCCCAUCAAUAACAGCUUCCUUCAUAACCCGAGGUUCCCUAAUCAAGCUCCCUGAAUCUGUGUCCUCCUCACGAAUUGUUUGGGACACACUUGGUGAUUUAGAUAGCUCUUCAUUAAGUCCAUCAUUGGCAGAAUGUAAAAUGCCAAUAUUAGAGACGAGAGCAGCUGAAGAAGAUCCAUUAAUCUUGCUAACGUGUUGGGCUGCUGAAGAAGACUGAAAAUUCUUGCCAGCCUGUUGGGCUACAUUUUUAGUAGAAGACUUGGACGGGCCCAAUGAAAUUUAAGUGGUCCAAUAAUUCCAGGUGGCCCACUUUUUUCUUUCCCAUAUUAGCGUCCAAAACAAUUGAAAAUAAUCCAAAACCACGUGCAAACUGCAAAGCAAAAUGUGAUGAUAAGUCAGCCUUGCUAUUAGCCGCAAUGUGAGGGUUCGAUUUCUGAGAUAUGAAAUUGGACUCUUUGUGGGCACCAGUGUAUAUAUGUCAAAGCAAGCUGACUUAUAUACACUGGCUCGAUUAUUACGGAUUCCAUACUGUGAAUAUAUGUUCUCCAGUUAUUUCACUUUAAUUCCCAAGGCAUCGAGAUUUUGAUUAACAAUUUAAUCUCACUUAUUGAUACCUCAAAAAACUUCAAGUUAAUAAUCAAAGUUCAUUAUUCGCUCAUGAUUAAGGCACUACGUACAAUAGUCGAGUGAAAUUAGAUUUAAGUGGUCAAUUCCAUAAAUUAAUUUCACGUGGUCCAGUUCAAUACAUUCCAAAAUGUACAAUCAAUUUUAUUGCUAAAGUCGAGAUCAACUUUAAAUAAAAUUGAGACAAUCUUAUCAAAAUAAAGUGUUUGUCUUUAUUUACCGAUUGUGGACAAUAAGCUUUAGAUCGAAUUAUAAAUCAAAUCUUUCCGUGUUUAACAACUUAAACACUUGAUUUAUAAUAUCAAGUUGAUCCAUGAACAAAAUGCAAGCUCAAAUUAGACAAACAGUUUAUUGGAAAAACAAAUUAUUAUUAUUAUUAUUUUUUCAAAAUGUCACGAAUACAAAUAAAUUUACUCGAAGAGCUAAAAUUAAACUAACACUGUAUCCAUUGAAUCCUUCUACAUCAACUUUUGCAUAUCAAUCACAGGCAUGGGCAGAUCCAAGAGGGUUGACCCCCAACUUUUGAGAUUUUUUUUUUUUUUUGGUAUAAAGUCCUGUUUGGUAUCGAAAAUCUAAAUCAAAAUUGAUAACUAAUUUUAAUAACACAUUUCAUGGAUUCCUUAACUUUUAAAUUUUAUCAAAAUUUACUAAAAAUCGGACUUUAAUUCCCAUCAAACAGGAGCAAAAUCACAAUAAAUUUGAAUUUUCUCACUUUUUUAUUGCUCUAUCUCACUCUCUUCCUUACACCUUUUACCUAAACCUUAAUCCGUCUAAUUUUUUAACAUUUGUUAUAAUUUCUCUACAAUUAUCACAUCUACUACAAAUUUUCAACUAAUUAGAGCUUAAAUUUGUAUUUUCUCUUAUACUAUUUGUGUAUAUAGCAUAUGUUUAAACUGAUUAUAUAAAAAUUUAAAUUAUAUCCAACCAAUUGUGUUUAUUUGAUUGAUUAUUAGUAUUGAAUAUUGGUUAUAUAUUUUUCCUUUCGAUUAUUUGAAUUGAUUGUUUGAAUCGUAUACACAAUUUUUUAAAAUAUAAAUAUGUAUUUUCUUGUGAUGAAUAAAAUAUUAAUAAAAUGACUUUCAAAAUCAAAUAGAUGAAAAUGAUGAGCAAAAUAUUAAUGAAGAAAUAUUUUUUAAAUGUAAAUAUGUAUUUUCUUGGUUAAAUAUGAAUCAUUAGAAAUUCAAGAACAAAAUAUUCGAUUUGUACAAAGUUUGAUUGUGCCCCUAAUUCAAAAUCUCUGCGUCCGCCCCUGAUCACACAGGAAUUUGAUUUCCAGGUAAUGUAGAAACGAGAUGAUCUUGAUUAGGACGUUGUUAUCUCGGUGGAAUAGUGGUCGAUUUCUCCUUAGCCAAUUCUUGCACACUAGGCACUUGUAAAGAACUACCUAGCUUUUUAAACUUUGGUUCCAUCUGCAGCAAUUUUUUCAAUGGUCUCUCCCUCUCCUAUCUUUGUUCUUCUCUCUAAAUUAUAUUACAUUUGUUCUCCUCUGCUAAUUAUAUUACGUUUGUUCCCUUAAUGGCUUUGUCAAACAUUAUUAGGCAUAUGGAAAGAAUAUCGUGCUAAUUUGGUAUUUUCAAACGUCCCACCGAACUGUGAAAAUGAAAGCAAGUGGUAUAAGCAUAAUUAUCCGAAAUGGAAAACUUUUACUUAUAGUCGGUCAGUCACAUCGCACACGAAAUGUCCAAUUAAGCAUCCCACCAGACAUUUACUACAGGACAUCUGGUUUCUAGAUUGAAAUAGACAGUCCAGUCCAAUUUAGAAACAAUUGAAGGAAGAACUUUACUGAAGGAAAAAAUGCAACCUUGAUUACAUGAUUUGGGAGUAAAACCAGGAAAAAAAAUAUUAAUUUAAAUUAAUACAAUUAAACAAUCAAGAGUAAUUUUCAAUAGACCCUUUUUUUUUUUAAGGGUAGCGCUAUUUCCAUCCGCACUUUUUAUAAGUACAACCCACUCUAAAUUCAUACCUAAUAAAAUUUAAAAAUUUAAAAAAAAAUAUUAUUUACCUCCACGUUAUAUUCCAAUCUUAUCCUCACUAAAUUCAUUCGUUUAAAUAACAUAUAUCCACAUAAAUUUUAUAUAUUCAUCUCAUUUUAAAUACAACCCUAAAAUAUAAUAAAAAUUUAUUUUUAAAAGUGAAUGUACUUAUAAAAAGUGUGGAUGAAAAUAGCAGUACCCUUUAGAUAUUACGUUAACGAUAGACAUUUUUUGCCUGAUAAAAAAAUAAUAAUAAUAAUAAAGAAAGGGAAAUGGAGCCCACUGCUUGACUUCAACCUUAAAUACAAAAUUACGGUUACUUCUUUUAUAUUCUGAAAAUAAAAUUACUCUUACUCUCUCAACUUUUUCAAAAUUAGUAUCCACCCCAAAUGGCAAAUUUGAAUGUAUUGAUUUUAAAAACACUUUUUUUAAUUAAUGGUUAAAUUUUUUUUAACACAUAGGAAGUGGAAACCAAAUUGUACACAUUUGGAUGUACAAGUAGUCGUAUUUAUCUAGGAACCAGAUGUUCUGUAGUGAAUGAAAGGUGGGAUGCUUAAUUGGACAUUUCGUGCGGUGUCGGCUUACCCACUAUAAGUAAAUCUUACUUUCGGGUAAAAGUUUUUCAUCUCUGAAAAUUAUGCUUGUACCACCUGCUUUCAUUUUCACAAUUUGGUGGGACCAUUGAAAAUGACCAAAUUAGAACAAUAUUCUUGCCAUAUGCCCAAUAAUGUCUGAUACAGUCCUUGACUUUUUAAGGAAACAAAUGUAAUAUAAUUAGGAGUGAAGAACAAACGUAAUAUAAUUUGGAGAGAAGAACAAAGAUAGGAGCGGUAGAGACCCUUGGCAAAAUUUCUGCAGAUGGAAUCUAAGUUUAAAAAGCUAGGUAGUUCUUUACAAGUGCCUGAUGUGCAGGAAUUGGCCAAGGAGAAAUCGACCACUAUCCCACCAAGAUACCAGCGUCCUAAGCAAGAUCAUAUCAUUUCUUCCUUACCUGAAAAUCGAAUUCCUGUCAUUGAUAUGCAAAAGUUGAUGGAGAAAGAUUCAAAGGAUACUGAGCUUCAAAAACUGCACACUGCAUGCCAAGAAUGGGGUUUCUUUCAGGUAUGCACAGUAAAAACGCACAGUAAAAACUAAAAUAUAUAGCACGAUUUGCCCCUACAACUGGCUACUUGCAGUUGAUUAGUAUUUUCUGUUGGAUAUGGUUUUAUAUGAUCAUAAUUGGCUACUUGCAGUUGAUCAACCAUGGGGUUAGCUUUCCAAAGGUGGAGAAAAUGAAGUUAGAAAUUCAAGAAUUCUUCAGACUCCCAAUAGAGGAAAAGAAGAAGUUUGGUCAAGAAUCAGGGGACGUAGAGGGUUAUGGACAGGCCUUUGUUGUAUCAGAAGAGCAAAAGCUCGAUUGGGCAGACUUAUUCUUUGCAAUCACCUUACCAAUUCACUUGAGAAAACCUCACUUAAUUCCCAAGCUUCCUACUAAGUUCAGGUAGAAACACGUAUCGUAUAUUUGUACCGUCUAAUCUCAUCUGAUAACUGUACUAAAAAUGUUGUUACUUGGCUCCUUUAUUCUUGAUUUUUGCAGGGAUGCAAUAGAUGAAUAUGCUGCGGAAUUGAAAAACCUUGCCGUGAAAAUCCUAGACCUAAUGGCUAAAGCUUUACACAUGAAAGCUGAGGAAAUGAAUACGGUUUUCGGAGAAGGGAUGCAAGCAAUGAGGAUGAAUUACUAUCCUCCCUGCCCCCAACCGGAGCUUGUUACCGGCCUUUACCCCCACUCUGAUGCAGUUGGACUCACCAUCCUCCUCCAAGUCAAUGAAAUUGAAGGUCUUCAGAUUAAGAAAGAUGGAGCUUGGAUUCCUGUUGUACCACUCCCUAAUGCUUUUGUUAUUAACAUUGGAGACAUCUUGGAGGUAAAUGUACAUAAUCAAAUGGCCUAAAGUCACUCCAUUUAUACGUUGUUCUCAACUAUGUUUAGCUAUAGCCUAUAAAUUUUAUUGUAUGCAUUGAGAUCUUAUCAUUACAUGCUUUGACAGAUUGUGACAAACGGAAUUUACCGAAGCAUUGAACAUCGAGCAACUGUCAAUUCGAAGAAAGAAAGGCUCUCCAUUGCUACAUUUUUCAACCCAAAUAUAGAUGGAGAUUUUGGUCCAGCACCAAGCCUUGUGACUCCAGAAACUCCAGCAAAAUUCAAAAGAAUCAGCUUUGUUGAUUUUAUGAAAGGAUAUUUUUCGCGGGAACUUGAUGGGAAAUCAUACCUCGACACCAUGAGAAUUUAGAAUAAGAACAAUUUGGUUCUUGAUUCAUGUAUGCUGAGUUCAUUAAAUGAGAAAUAUGGUAUCUGCUAACAGUUAUGUAUGCAGGUAUGGCAGCUGCUGUUGGUACCAAAAUCAUGCUUAGAUUUGAAUAAAUCAGUGUCAACUAGUAGAAUAAUGAUUUAAGUCUUGUUACUCAAAUAAGGCCCUUUUACUCAUUAGCCCAUUUAAAUUCAAACAUAGAAGCAGAACAAUGAAGGAAAUUAUAUGUCAGAAGUCGCAAUGUUACUUUGCAUAGAAACACACGUUCUUGAAACAUUUAAUAAUUUCGUCGCUUGAUUUUUUUCUUAAUUUUGGUUAAUCUUAUUAAGUCCUAGAUAAGAAUUGGGAAGUUUGUCUAGACAACAAUGUCUUGUCAAGAUGAUACUGGAUUAAGUGACUAAUGUAGUUAGUAGUAAUUAAUCAAUGGUUUUUUUUUUUUUUUUGGAACUAAAAAUAAAAUCUCCAUUGAGAUUAUCAAACAGAUGAUAAUAAUGCAUGCUACAUAAUUUUCGAUUACUUGAGGUGGAAUCAAUAGAGUGAUGGUUCGCUUUAUUCUGAACUAGAGUGUAUAGCAACCAAAGAAGCAUAGACUCCAUCUUUCAUAAGCACGUCGUGACUUCCCUUUUUAACAAUCACUCUAUUCUUCACAACAGCAAUGGUGUCUGCUCCCAUUACUGUAGUCAGGCAAUGAGCUACAUCGAUAGUAGUUCUCUUCACCAUAACUCUAUCUAAAGGCUUCUGGACUAUAUGCAUUCAGUGCACUUGUUGCUUCAUCGAGCAAAAGUAUCUUUAGAUCUUUCAAUAUUGCUCUUGCUACAACAAUUCUUUGCUUUUGUCCGCCAGACGAUUAAAUUCCUUUCAUCCCAACAUUAGGUUCAUAUCCUUGAGGCAAUCUUGAUAUGAAGGCGUGUGCAUUUGCAGCUCUUGUCGCUGAAAUUGUCUUUUCUUCAGUUGCAACCCCGUAAGCAAUGUUUUCACGAAUUGUUUUGUUGAAAAGAACAGGUCCUUGACUCACUAAUCACAAUUGUUGCCUCAGCCAACUUAGAUUGAAUUUUCAGAUUUCCACUCCAUUCUAGAAUAUUUGGGCAGACUCAGGGUUGUAGAAUCUUUGUAUCAAACUGAUAUCUGUGGACUUCCCACUUCCACACUCUCCAACUAGAGCCAUUGUCUGCAAAAGUAAAUAUUAUCUAAUGUUACUUCUUACAAAGAUUUUAGUUGAUUUUUCUCUUGUACUUUUCAUUUUCGAGGUACAGAGUCUUUUGAACCAACUGAUGGAUCACACUUCUGAUGUAUUUGAAAUUCAUUUGCUACAACAUAUUGUCUUAUAGUGAAUUCAAUUUUUGCAAAUAUUUUCUACUGAAAUAUAUGAUUUUAUCACUUUUUUGUAUCAAUAAAUAUAUUAGGUAAUUCAUUUGCAACAUUUUUGUAAAUGAAUGAUUUUUUUAACCUCUUACUCACAUAGAUUGCUACGUGAAUCAAAGAGAGAUAGAGUUGUUUCGUUUCAAUAAAUUUUACCUAGUUUUUCAGGAUGUAAUUUUUCUCCUCCCAAAGUUGAAAAGUCAUUUUAUCAAAAUGACAAUUUGCAAAACGUGAAGUAAAUAAAGGUUCAAAACACCUAAUGAUAGACGGUGAAUCAAAACCUAUAUAAAUCUCAAGUCUUCGCUGGGGGCCCAUUUUAGUACGUUUUGGGGGGGGGGGGGGGGAAAAAAAAAUNNNNNGGGGGGGGGGGGGGGGGGCAAAUAAAGAUUUUGAUAGUGCAAAUAAAGAUUUUGAUAGUACAAAAAAAUCGUUAAGUGAGAAAUAUUAAGUUCAUGACCAAAUGCAAGUUGCAAAUGGGAAAUGAUAAUACGUAGCUGAUCGUAUAUGAAUCAAUAAUGUAGCAUGUAAUAUGGCAUGAUCCCAAAUAGAAGGUAGGAGUUUUAUUUUCAUAAGUGAUGGUAACGUUCCGCUAAAUCAUUUUCGGGUACAGACAUGCGCAACUGAAUGUUCAAUAACAAUUUCAAUUGACAUACAGUAAUCAUCGAAUGCUUAUGAUCUAAAUUAACUAGCAUUUUCAAAACAAAUAGUCUUGAUUUAAUAAUCGAAAAAUUGCUCUCAUAAUUUUAUAAUUUGAGUAAGUAGUCUAGCAGAUGCUGCAUUCUUAAUGAAAAGUAGGCAAACAUAUAACAAUCUAGUAGAAGAAUCAAUUAAUACUAUAAAAUAACAAAAUAAUCCACAUGGUGAGUGUAUUGGCCCACAUAUAUCUCCAUGAAUUCUUUUCAAGAAAGUUGGAGAUUCAAUAUUGACAUUUGUAAUCGAAGGUCUAAUUACUAGCCUGCCUUGCGAACAAACUGCACAUGGAUAUUCAUUAGAUAAAAGAAUCUUCUGGUUCUUUAAAAGAUAUCCAUGUGAAUUGUUUAAUAUUUGACGGAUCAUUCUAGCUCAUGGAUGUUUAAGUCGAUCAUGUCAAAGUAUAAAAAUUUUUGGUUUAACAAACUUCCAAUUCGUAACAAUAUUUGAUUCAACCAUUUUUAUAAAUAUAUAAUACAUAUCAAAUUAGAGUGCAUGAAAUUUUUCUUUUAUCUACUUCUGAUUAGAUACAAAAAAAGUUAUGCAAAGAUAGUCAACAUUCUUUUCUUGUAUCGUCUGUGAUAUCCAUUACAGUGGAUAUCUUUAAAAUUAAGCAAAUUUCUUCUGAAUUUGGUAGAAUAAAAUGUAUCGUCAAUAAAUAAUUUUGUAUUAUGUGAUAAAAUAAUACAAGUUCUUCCAGAAUCUUCAACGAUAUUCGAUGCACUUGAUAUCGUAUUAAUAUUAUUUUUUGCUAAUUUUAAGUCCAAAAAAUAUUUUUGUAUUGAAAAUUUGUAUAUGUAGUUGCACUAUCAAUCAAGCAGGGAUCAUCCAUCAUGAAUAUAUAUAUAAAUAUAACAAAAUAAAUAUACUUAAAAAAACUUGAAUUUAAAUUUAAAAGGUAAACAUAAUUCAAUACUGUAAAAUUAACGAUGUUUCAAAAUUUUUUUUUUGAUAAGUAAAAUAUAUUUCAAACUAAAUUUCUAAAAUAAAGGGAAAUACUAGAGGUAAGAAAAUAAGCUAAUCUAUGACUUCCAUCACACCAUCCCCAAUCAAUGAUCAAUAUUACCAUUUAGAUCAACAAAGAAAUCAGAGACAUCCAAAUGAGUCACAGCAAUGGAACUAUCAUAGUUAGCAAAAUUUGUCUCCACUUUUUCAUUUUUCUUGAUUGAAUUUUGGUAAAGAUCCAUAAGAUGUUUUUCCGUACGAUAAGGUACGUGUCCAAUGCCCUUUCAUUUUACAUGUAAAGUAACUUUCUUCAUGUUCUUUUUUAGAUGUGUUACAUUUAUUUGCUUUGUGCCUUUUUAAACUGUUUUUGUUGAUGAUAGCUUUGUUGGUUAUUUCUCCACGAUUUAUUUCACGCACAGGUUCACGUCCACAUCCACAUCUAUAUCCAUGUCUUUGACUUGAUAUUGCAUUUGUUUCAAACAAUACAGCAAUGGUACAGAACUAAUUGGAUGUAAUCCAUAAUUUUCCAUCAGUAGUUCACUAUUUUUUUCAGCUAUAAAUAGGCAAGAUAUGAGUAUUGAAUACCUUUUAAAACCACGCUCAUGAUAUUGUUGCUGUAGAAGUACAUUCGAGGCGUAAAAUGUGGAAAAAGUUUUCUUCAACAUGUCUUUAUCAGUAAUUUUCUUUCCACAUAAUAUCAAUUUUAAACAUAUUCUAAACAGCUCAGAAUUGAACUCACUAACAAUUUUGAAGUCUUGUAAAUGAAGGUGCAUCCACUCAUAGCGAAAUUUGGAGAGGACUAUAAUCAUCCGAUAAUCAAAUCUUUCAGUAAUUUUUUUCAAAGAAUUUUCAGAUCUUUUUCAGUGAAACAUUCAAUUUUCAAUCCAUCGUAAAGAUGAUGACGAAUGAAAAUGAGAGUUUUUACAUGAUUGUAUAGAGAUCUUUUGUUUCAUUCUUUUAUUGUUUCUCCCUAAUCUUUUAAGACAAGACGAAUAUCAACAUCGAGUACCAAUUAUAAAUAAUUUUUUUCAGAUAUGUCAAGUGCAGCAAACUCAAAUUUUGUAAUGUUUGUCAUUUAAUUAACUACACAACAAAGCGAAAAAAAUACAAUUAGUUUCGAAGAAUAUGAUUAAACAUCACAUAAUAGUUAAUCAAGUAGUCAAUAUGACAUAAGUUAUGUUUUUUUCCUUCUAUGAUAAACACUACUUUAAAAUAAUAUCUUCUUCAAAAUAUAUGUAACUUUAGGAGCACAUUUUAUUUUACUAUUAUUUCUUAAAGAGCAAUAUGUCAAUAUUGUUAUGAGACACUAAAAAAUUAUAAUUCAUGCUCCUUGGGAUUAAAUAAUAUCUUUCUAAAAUAUUAAAAAAAUAAAAUUUAUGCCAUUCUGGAGCAAGUUGUAUUAUUUACCAGUAUUAAUUAUAUAAUGUUGUAUUACUUCAGGAACAACAACAAUUAAAAUGAAUUCAAUAAAUAAUAUUUUAUUUCUAAACAUAAAAAAACAAAAAAUGAAAAUAAAAAUGAAACGUUCAAUUGCACACUGCAUAAUAUUAAUUAUUAAUUAAUCUAUAAAUAUACAUAAAUUAACCUGAAUUCAUUAAUAUGAAUUGAGUGGAAUUUAUGGGAUGCGUGUACAAUCAAUAAUAAUUUAUGGUAUUUAGAUGUAUAUUAUAAUUGAUAUAUGUGAAGACAAAUCAAUGUCAUUGCUUUUCUAGCCAUUACCAUGUAUAGGUAAUAAUUACCAUUAUUGCAUAUGAACUAAUUAUACAAAUAAAAAUGGAUAUAAAACGUCAACUAUAUAACUUAAAGGAUCGACAAAUGAAAAGGCAUGGAAAUUGAGAAAGCAAAUAGUAGCAUGAAUUGAUUUCUGGUGGAGAAUUGACUUGACAUAUCAGAACGCAUGAGAGUAAUCAUAAAUAACUUAUUAAAGUAGAGAAGAAAAGGGGUGGGCAGCAGAUUGAAAAUAUAUUCACGUUUGUAUACAUUUAUUAAAAUAGAGAAAAAAAAGUAGUAGCCUUGUAUGUAAAAAAAAUUUACAUAACACCAAAUUAAUUUGGACAGUGCUAGACGUACCCAUGUUUCACAUAAUGUCCUACAGAAUCUGAUGUGGCUUCAAAAUCAAAAUAUCACUGAAGAAAUGUCAAAAUAUCUCUGAAGUUUAAAAAGAGAUUUUCUUGUAAUUGUAAAACCUUAAUCCUAUUAUUAAAUUUAUUCAUUUAAACAUUAUAGAUCCAUAUAAAUUUUAUAUAUUCAUCCCAUUAUAAAUACAUUCCUAAUAUAAUUUCAAAAAUUUUAAAAAAUCACUAUAUUCAUCCAAUUAUUUUCAACAUUUAGACCACGUUUGAUAGCCAUUAAUUUUCCCUAUAAAUUAAUUUUUCGACCAUUUUCACCCACAUAUCUGACAACGCAUGUGAACGUGUGCAGGCAUCUAACAUUUUCAUUUCCUCCAACCGUCCCUCUCACUGACACAACUCUCUCUCCCCCCUAUCAUUUCCGCUUCCCUCAAACUGCCACUCCCACCGACUACACUUUUUCCCUCUUUUCGGCCGAAACGGGCAACCUCACCAACAACAGUUUCUCUGCCUUACACAAAAGCCCCCUCGUGAACAUUUGUGACGCUCGUCACAACCACGAUUGAGGGAAAGGCCUCGAUGUCAACCUCUGCGACCGAAUCUGUAGCCUGCACAAGAUAUUCGGCACCGAUCUUCUCCACCAACCGAACAUGGAUCUCGCUGAAAUUUAGGUAUACCCACUUCGUUCCACUUGUUUUCCACACUUCCAUUAGGUUUUGCUUCAAUGCUAACGACCCAUAACACUUCACAGUCGGGCGCGAGCCUACAACGCUUGUCCAACACCGCUAUCGAAACCGCAAGGGGAUCUAGCUCGAAAACCUAUGCGUGCUGGAGCCCGGACAUGAAUUGGGCCUUUAUAACUACCUGCGAAACAGCCAUAGUGGAGGGUCACUAAAACGGCAGGUGUUUCACUAAACACGGUUGGGAACGCGUGUCCGCCUUCUUCAACUCGGUCAUCGGGCACAGCUGGAGCAAGCAGCAGUUGCGAAACCAUUGGGACGGAAUGCAACGAACCCUCAAACAUCUGUCGGAGCUUGUGAACAACAGCGGGGUAGAGUAUGACGUAGUCACCGACCGCAAUGGUGGAGUCGGAAGCUUAAGGUAACAUCUCACACCUUCGCUAAUUUGGCCCACCCUUCAAUUCAUGAAGAAUUAUGUACAUUCGGCCACUUCACUUUACUGCCAAACUGCUGCCCUUAACAAACUUUAGCAUUUUCCUUCGUUAACUUGAACCACCUUGAAUUGACUGAGAUGAAUUGAGUAUUACAAACUGCAAUGAAUAAUUAGCAACAAAUGUGCAUGGAUGAUGAAUUGAUUUCUAAUUUCGACUAGAAUUCACUACAAAAUCCUUAUGGGUUGGAAAUUGGUUUAUGUUAAUUAGUGGCUUUUUCUUUCCUCAACGAACAUGGACUUCAUAAAUUAAUCAGUUGUAUGCUUGUUGUGUUGGAAUGUCACACGCGGUUGACGUGAUCAAAAUGAAUAACGUUGUUGUUAUGUACUAAUUUUUUCUAUUGCUUAUAUCAGUUUCAGACUUUAUACCGUUGCUAUCUUCAAAUUUUUUUAAU
rnacentral:lncRNA from 1 species